rnacentral:rRNA from 1 species
UACAGAGGUCCCAAGCGUUGUUCGGAUUCACUGGGCGUAAAGGGUGCGUAGGCGGUCGGGUAAGUCUGACGUGAAAUCUUCAAGCUCAACUUGGAAACUGCGUCCGAUACUAUUCGGCUAGAGGAAUGGAGGGGAGACUGGAAUACUUGGUGUAGCAGUGAAAUGCGUAGAUAUCAAGUGGAACACCAGUGUCGAAGGCGAGUCUCUGGACAUUUCCUGACGCUGAGGCACGAAAGCCAGGGGAGCAAACGGG